AACAGGAUUAGAUACCCUGGUAGUCCACGCCCUAAACGAUGUCAACUAGUUGUCGGGUCUUAAUUGACUUGGUAACGCAGCUAACGCGUGAAGUUGACCGCCUGGGGAGUACGGUCGCAAGAUUAAAACUCAAAGGAAUUGACGGGGACCCGCACAAGCGGUGGAUGAUGCGGAUUAAUUCGAUGCAACGCGAAAAACCUUACCUACCCUUGACAUGGCCGGAAUCCUGCAGAGAUGCGGGAGUGCUCGAAAGAGAACCGGCGCACAGGUGCUGCAUGGCUGUCGUCAGCUCGUGUCGUGAGAUGUUGGGUUAAGUCCCGCAACGAGCGCAACCCUUGUCAUUAGUUGCUACGAAAGGGCACUCUAAUGAGACUGCCGGUGACAAACCGGAGGAAGGUGGGGAUGACGUCAAGUCCUCAUGGCCCUUAUGGGUAGGGCUUCACACGUCAUACAAUGGUGCAUACAGAGGGCUGCCAACCCGCGAGGGGGAGCUAAUCCCAGAAAGUGCAUCGUAGUCCGGAUUGCAGUCUGCAACUCGACUGCAUGAAGUUGGAAUCGCUAGUAAUCGCGGAUCAGCAUGUCGCGGUGAAUACGUUCCCGGGUCUUGUACACACCGCCCGUCACACCAUGGGAGCGGGUUUUACCAGAAGUAGGUAGCCUAACCGCAAGGAGGGCGCUUACCACGGUAGGAUUCGUGACUGGGGUGAAGUCGUAACAAGGUAACC
rnacentral:rRNA from 1 species